GGCUCCAUAGCUCAGUGGUUAGAGCGCCUGUCUAGUAAACAGGAGGUCGUGGGUUCGAUUCCCAUUGGAGCCU